CAACGCUGAUGCUGGUUGUUGAGGCAUCGAUCCCGCGCAAGCGCACUAUUGACCUGAUCUGGAGGAGGGCGAUGUUAACAUAGGACGCCGACCUGUUGACCGCGCCACCUGCUAACCUGCCUCCCUUUUCGGGUGUCUGCACGUGGGUCCCUUCCUGCCACUCAGAAGAAAGGAUGCCGAGCCCAGGGCCACCUGGAGACGGAUUAAUGACUUGCCCAAGAGCACCGCCAGGAACAGCGGCACUCCUGUUUUGCUGGCCAGCUGCCUCAGGCUGAGACCAGUGCGAGUGGAGACGGCUCCCAGCACUGCAGAGCACCAGGGUCCAACUCGCGGAUGCAUGCAGCCUAGAACGCCUAGCAACGCGGAUCAACCUCAGUCGGGAAGCCUGCUGGGAAUUAGCUCAGGUGGCAGACUGUUGGAUUAGCCAAGGCCCGGCAUUUCUUUAUCAGUACCACAUAAAACGGAUUGGUCGUACACAGGCUUGAAAAUUCAAGCAUACCAAAAGCAAACGCAGGAGGAUUAGAAUCCAGUCAUCCCUUGCUUCUCCAAUUCCUCGCCAGUAUAGGCUACCCGAGACUCUGUGAUGGUUAGUUUUGUCAAUUCGAUAGGACAUAACGUCACCUGAGAAACAGUCUCAACGAGGUCUUAUAUGGAUUGGGUUGACCCGUGGGCAAACCACUGAGACAUUUUCACGGAGGUUGGGUUCUGCACUGUGCAGGUUUUGAGAGUCGAUUAAGAGAAAGCUUGAUGCAUCCUUUCGCUUUGGUCAUGGCUGUGCGUGUGGGGCAAUCAGCUGCCUUAAGUUCCUGCUGCUCUGCCUCCUCCGCAGUAAUGGCACUAUAUAUAACCUAGAGUUGUCCGCUAAAAUAAAGUCUUGCUCCAUUUAGUUGCUCUUUGCCAGGGUGUAUUACUACAGCAUCAGAUGUGAAACGAGGAGAGACUCUGUGUUGAAAUAAGUGUAGCUUAAAAGUUGUUUUUGUGUGUGUGACUUCUUUUGUAGCGACUUCAGUUUACUUUUUAGACAACAGAUUGAAAUGUCGCACAACAUAAAAAUAUGGCUUUGUUUGUAUGUACGUGUGGGCUCCGUUUUAUGGUGGUUUCCAGGGUGUUAUCUUCUAGGUGCAGACAGUAAAACUGGCACCACCAGGUGUUACAUAUGCUUGUGGUGACUUGAGUGAAAGGCAGCGAUUAUUGAGGUUUGAACUCUUAUUGCAGAACAGGUAGACUUUGGUUUGGGAUGGUCUCACUAAGUAACUCUGGCUGAUCUGGAACUUGAUAUGUAGACUAGAGUGACUCCAAACUCACAGAAACCUACCUGCCUCCGCCACAACAAAAUAAAUAAAAAUUAACCAGAACUCCAGAGACAAACUACAUAUGAAGGAUGCCUGUUCAGCAAAAAAUGGACAGAUGGCUAUGUUUUUGUUGAGGCACUCUGCUUAAUUUGCAGGGAAUUCGUGUAAGUUUUCUAAGACUAUGACUUGAAAGGCAUUAUAUACAGACAAACUGCCCAAUUAGGUGCUUAUCAAGGGUCGUAUUGUAAGGAAAAACAGAACUGGAAAACUUCAUUUUGGUACACCUUCCUUGUCUCUUUUCAGUUACUACAUUACCUACCACUUUUCAAAUGGAAUGCAGAGUUGCAAUCUGACAUCCAAGUUAAAGGAAAAUCUGACUGUGUCUGAUGUUUAUAGGUUUAUCUUUGUAGACACACCCACCACUCACCUUAUUCAUGUCAGCAGCUACAUAUGAGCAACUAUUUUCAAGAAUGAAGUACAAGUAAGAGUGAAGUUAGAACAAAAAUCUGAUGAACGCCUAUGAACUGAAACUACUUCCUUCCACUGAACCAGAUAUUUAUGUAUUAGGUCUUCAAAUAUCCCACUAAGCUUUAGUUAUCAGUGACUGCAAAUCGGGGACCUGCCCAGAGAUUUUAAGACUCUGAAUGGAGUGCUGCAUAAUUAGAAUCAGUAUGCAAAACAUUUUGUUUAUAUAUGCUAGUAGAGAUUAUCAAAAUUGUACAUGGACACCCCCAUUUUGCUAGUGUAUUUUCUGGGUGGCCCCAAAUGAUAGCUCUUGUCUAAUGUGGGCCAGAGCAGACAAAAUGUUAGAUCUCAGCUGUAAAGCUUGCUGAGUGGAGCAGGGCAAGAAUUCUAGGAAGUGGAGUGGGUAAAGAUUUUGGGAGAGUUAACAAAUGAUGUGACCCCUCUUUUUCUGUAGGCUGAGAUGUGAACCCAGACCCUUAAAUAUGCUUGUCAAAUGCUCUACCACAGAGCUACAUGCUCAACUACUCACAAGCUUUUCCUGGUGCCAGGGUGUCUGCACAUGGCUGGCUAAUGGAAUAUAAAUAGAAUAUCACAUGCCCUAUCCAUACCCAAGAGUGAGAGUAUCCCUCAGUGGGAAUGUCAGAACCAGCUGUAUCAUGUGAGACCUGUGAAUGUAGAAGGCUUGCUGUAACUACUGUGUAAAGGUGGCGUUCAGUUGUAUCCAUCAUGUUAGUAUAUCACUAAAUAUGUUUUUCAUUAUGUGUUUCAAUUUCGGUUCCACAUGCAAAACAUGUCUGCUCCUGCUUCAAAUUCUUUUCCAAGUAACUUCAUAGUGGUCAGCUGAGUUUCCAGAGAUGGAGAGAACCGAGUACAGCAAAGUGAAAUAUAGUAAUUUAGAACUAGAACAGAAAGACUGCGUUAACUGAGUCCUGAAUUACAGAAUGAAGGUUUUAAUUAAUCUCAUUAUUAAUGGGAAAGUACAUCAAAAUAGAUUUCAGGAAAUUGAAGAAGAUAAGCAAAAACUUACAAAUGACAUUAACAAUACAAGUGAUUCUAAUGCCUUGACAAUUAUCUUUUAAAUUAAGCUAGACAGUAAUCUUUUUUAAGAAAGGUUUUUAUUUUUAACUAUGUCUAUGUGUGUGGGUAUGUGUAUGUGCACUGACUCCCCCAGGGCUAUAAUUGUGAGCUUCCUGACAUGGGUUGCUAAGAACUGAAUUCAUUCUGAAAGAACAGCAUGCUACUCUUAAUUACUGAGCCAUCUCUCUAGCUCUUAUUAGUAAUAAACUUAAAAAAUGA